CAGUCGCCGCGGUAAUACGGAGGGUGCAAGCGUUAUCCGGAUUUAUUGGGUUUAAAGGGUCCGUAGGCGGAUCUGUAAGUCAGUGGUGAAAUCUCACAGCUUAACUGUGAAACUGCCAUUGAUACUGCAGGUCUUGAGUAAAUUUGAAGUGGCUGGAAUAAGUAGUGUAGCGGUGAAAUGCAUAGAUAUUACUUAGAACACCAAUUGCGAAGGCAGGUCACUAAGAUUUAACUGACGCUGAUGGACGAAAGCGUGGGGAGCGAACAGGAUUAGAUACCCCAGUAGUCCCUGUCUCUUAUAA
rnacentral:rRNA from 1 species